CGAAAAUACAAAGAAUGAUAAUGAACAGCAGGAUGAAAAACAGGAGAAAUGGGACCCUAUUCGAUUUGUAACUCAAAGCUCUAAAUUUUUUUCUCUUCCUUCUAUAUCUUUUUCUGACAAAUCGAGCAUUAUAAUAUCUCCAGGUGACAUCCUCUGGAGUGCAUUUUCUUCUGAUGAUAACGAAAGUAA
rnacentral:ribozyme from 1 species